CUCACUUGUUCCAGGCUUGUACCAGUGAUAGUCACUGGCACUGCAUCAAAAGACAGGGUACCAAACAUCAAGUUCAAUGUGGCUAAGGUGUUGCAGUCGAUUAUUCCGAUAGUUGAUCAGUCGGUGGUGGAGAAAACUAUUCGUCCUUGUUUGCUUGAGCUUAGUGAGGACUCACACCUCAGUACAACAUAAACCUGAUGUUUAUGCCCAACCAAAUAUCUAUGACGAGCAUCAGCGGUCACAAUGGGCAUGGUGUGUGUGUGUUGUGUUGUGUUGAAUAACCGAAAAAGGAUGACUCUGAAGUGACUUUGAAUGUAAACUUUCAUAUUUUCAUUUUUUUUUUAAAAUUUUUGGAGGAAGAAAAAAAAAAAAAAA